rnacentral:rRNA from 1 species
CAGGCUGCAACCCGCCCUGCAUGAAGUCGGAAUUGCUAGUAAUCGCGGAUCAGCAUGCCGCGGUGAAUACGUUCCCGGGCCUUGUACACACCGCCCGUCACACCAUGGGAGCCGGUCGCGCCUGAAGCCGGUGGCCUAUCAGUAAUGGGGGAGCCGUCUAUGGCGAGAUUGGUAACUGGGGUGAAGUCGUAACAAGGUAUC